UACGUAGGGUGCAAGCGUUAAUCGGAAUUACUGGGCGUAAAGCGUGCGCAGGCGGAUAUGCAAGUCAGGGGUGAAAUCCCCGGGCUUAACCUGGGAACUGCAUUUGAGACUGCAUAGCUAGAGUACGGGAGAGGGGGAUGGAAUUCCGCGUGUAGCAGUGAAAUGCGUAGAUAUGCGGAGGAACACCGAUGGCGAAGGCAAUCCCCUGGACCUGUACUGACGCUCAUGCACGAAAGCGUGGGGAGCAAACAGG
rnacentral:rRNA from 1 species